rnacentral:rRNA from 1 species
UAAUACGGAGGGUGCAAGCGUUAUCCGGAUUCACUGGGUUUAAAGGGUGCGUAGGCGGGUAAGUAAGUCAGUGGUGAAAUCCUGGAGCUUAACUCCAGAACUGCCAUUGAUACUAUUUAUCUUGAAUAUUGUGGAGGUAAGCGGAAUAUGUCAUGUAGCGGUGAAAUGCUUAGAUAUGACAUAGAACACCCAUUGCGAAGGCAGCUUACUACGCAUAUAUUGACGCUGAGGCACGAAAGCGUGGGGAUCAAACAGGA